UGGGUUGUGGCUCAGUGGUAGAGUGCUUAUCUAGCAUGUAUGAGGCACUGGUUUCGAUCCUCAGCACCACAU
rnacentral:tRNA from 1 species